rnacentral:rRNA from 1 species
GCUUGUCUCAAAGAUUAAGCCAUGCAUGUCUUAGUGUAAAUAACUCUUAUGAAACUGCGAAUGGCUCAUUAAAUCAGUUAUCAAAUACGUGAUGGUCGCCUACUACAUGGAUAACCGUAGUAAUUCUAGAGCUAAUACAUGCACAAAGGCCCACUCACGUGGGUUGUGAUUAUUAGAUUCAAACCGGCCUCGUUCUGGUGAUUCAUAAUAACUUUGCGAAUCGUAUGCCUCACGGCGACGAUGAAUCAUUCAAAUUUCUGCCCUAUCAACUUUCGAUGGUAGUGUAUUGGACUACCAUGGCAGUAACGGGUAACGAAGAAUUAGGGUUCGAUUUCGGAGAGGGAGCAUGAGAAACGGCUACCACAUCUAAGGAAGGCAGCAGG